rnacentral:rRNA from 1 species
UACGUAGGCAGCGAGCGUUGUUCGGAGUUACUGGGCGUAAAGAGCUCGUAGGCGGUUUGUCGCGUCUGCUGUGAAAACCUAAGGCUCAACCUUGGGCUUGCAGUGGGUACGGGCAGACUAGAGUGCGGUAGGGGUGACUGGAAUUCCUGGUGUAGCGGUGGAAUGCGCAGAUAUCAGGAGGAACACCGAUGGCGAAGGCAGGUCACUGGGCCGCAACUGACGCUGAGGAGCGAAAGCAUGGGGAGCGAACAGG